rnacentral:rRNA from 1 species
AUGGACCAUUCCAUCCCUUUUUCCCGUGCAUAUGCAUCGGACUCGGAUGACGAUGGUCCUGAUGAACAAGUUGAUGCGGAGGGGUUCACGGUGAAGGAGGCCGAAGCUUUCGAGAAGGUAUUUGGUCGGGAUCAUCGGACUACAUUGUUCAAGGAUGUUAGUCUCGCGGAUGAAGCCAUGGUAGAUGGUGGCCAAUGUGUACCUCUUGGGGUUAGGCCAAGCUCUCAC